rnacentral:rRNA from 1 species
UGGCGGACGGGUGAGUAAUGUCUGGGAAACGUGCCUGAUGGAGGGGGAUAACUACUGGAAACGGUAGCUAAUACCGCAUAAUGUCGCAAGACCAAAGAGGGGGACCUUCGGGCCUCUUGCCAUCGGAUGUGCCCAGAUGGGAUUAGCUAGUAGGUGGGGUAACGGCUCACCUAGGCGACGAUCCCUAGCUGGUCUGAGAGGAUGACCAGCCACACUGGAACUGAGACACGGUCCGGACUCCUACGGGAGGCAGCAUG